rnacentral:rRNA from 1 species
UACGUAGGGUCCGAGCGUUAAUCGGAAUUACUGGGCGUAAAGCGUGCGCAGGCGGUUUUGUAAGCCAGAUGUGAAAGCCCCGGGCUUAACCUGGGAAUGGCAUUUGGGACUGCAAGGCUGGAGUACGGCAGAGGGAGGUGGAAUUCCAGGUGUAGCAGUGAAAUGCGUAGAUAUCUGGAGGAACACCGAUGGCGAAGGCAGCCUCCUGGGCUAAUACUGACGCUCAUGCACGAAAGCGUGGGGAGCAAACAGG